rnacentral:rRNA from 1 species
UUAGAGUUCCAUUCUGGCUCAGGAUGAACGCUGGCGGCGUGCUUAACACAUGCAAGUCGAACGAACCUUCGGGUUAGUGGCGGACGGGUGAGUAACGCGUGGGAAUCUGCCCUCAGGAGGGGGAUAACGGUUGGAAACGACCGCUAAUACCCCAUAUGCCGAGAGGUGAAACGAAAUUCGCCUGAGGAUGAGCCCGCGUCUGAUUAGCUAGUUGGUGGGGUAAAGGCCUACCAAGGCAUCGAUCAGUAGCUGGUCUGAGAGGAUGAUCAGCCACACUGGGACUGAGACACGGCCCAGACUCCUACGGGAGGCAGCAGUGGGGAAUUUUCCGCAAUGGGCGCAAGCCUGACGGAGCAACGCCGCGUGAGGGAUGAAGGCCUCUGGGCUGUAAACCUCUUUUCUCAAGGAAGAAGAACUGACGGUACUUGAGGAAUAAGCCACGGCUAAUUCCGUGCCAGCAGCCGCGGUAAUACGGGAGUGGCAAGCGUUAUCCGGAAUUAUUGGGCGUAAAGCGUCCGCAGGCGGCCUUGAAAGUCUGUCGUUAAAGCGUGGAGCUUAACUCCAUUUCGGCGGUGGAAACUACAAGGCUUGAGUGUGGUAGGGGCAGAGGGAAUUCCCGGUGUAGCGGUGAAAUGCGUAGAUAUCGGGAAGAACACCAGUGGCGAAGGCGCUCUGCUGGGCCAUAACUGACGCUCAUGGACGAAAGCUAGGGGAGCGAAAGGGAUUAGAUACCCCCGUAGUCCUAGCCGUAAACGAUGAACACUAGGUGUCGGGGGAAUCGACCCCCUCGCUGUCGUAGCUAACGCGUUAAGUGUUCCGCCUGGGGAGUACGCACGCAAGUGUGAAACUCAAAGGAAUUGACGGGGGCCCGCACAAGCGGUGGAGUAUGUGGUCUAAUUCGAUGCAACGCGAAGAACCUUACCAGGGUUUGACAUCCCGCGAAUUCCUUGGAAACUUGGAAGUGCCUUCGGGAGCGCAGUGACAGGUGGUGCAUGGCUGUCGUCAGCUCGUGUCGUGAGAUGUUGGGUUAAGUCCCGCAACGAGCGCAACCCACGUCUUUAGUUGCCAGCAUUAAGUUGGGCACUCUAGAGAGACCGCCGGUGAUAAACCGGAGGAAGGUGUGGAUGACGUCAAGUCAUCAUGCCCCUUACAUCCUGGGCUACACACGUACUACAAUGCUACGGACAAAGGGCAGCAAACUCGCGAGAGCUAGCAAAUCCCAUAAACCGUGGCUCAGUUCAGAUCGUAGGCUGCAACUCGCCUACGUGAAGGAGGAAUCGCUAGUAAUCGCAGGUCAGCAUACUGCGGUGAAUAAAAAGCCGGGCCUUGUACUCACCGCCCG